AUACGUUGGAUCACCCUGCACUAACCAUUUCGAAUGUUCCGACCAAAUCAACCUGGUUUGUGUGGAUAAUGCCUGCAACUGUGCAUAUGGCUUAAACCGCAACGGGACAGACUGUGCGGGUAACCUAGGUGUUUCCUUAAUCAAUGGCUCGUCACCAUAUGCGGGAAUCGUUGAUGGACAUACUGGAACCUUUUGUGAUCUUGGUUUUAGUGAAGAAGCGGCCAACGUAACCUGCACUAGUCUUGGAUUAGGUGAAUACAGCAAGCCUUACCCUAUGCCUGAAUUAACUAACGGUGAAACGCCAACAGUGAAGAAGAUCAUAACGUGUACAGGAUCAGAGAAAACUCUGGAGUUGUGUGACAUUUCUGAAAUUGAGCUAGACGGUUGUGAACCAGAAGACGUCGUUAGCAUUUAAUGCAAAGCUGGACCUAUCAAAUUGGAUCCAUUAUACGAUUAU